UACAGAGGGGGCAAGCGUUGUUCGGAAUUACUGGGCGUAAAGAGCUCGUAGGUGGUUUGUCGCGUUGUUCGUGAAAACUCACAGCUCAACUGUGGGCGUGCGGGCGAUACGGGCAGACUAGAGUUCGGUAGGGGAGACUGGAAUUCCUGGUGUAGCGGUGAAAUGCGCAGAUAUCAGGAGGAACACCGGUGGCGAAGGCGGGUCUCUGGGCCGAUACUGACGCUGAGGAGCGAAAGCGUGGGGAGCGAACAGG
rnacentral:rRNA from 1 species